rnacentral:piRNA from 1 species
UCAGAAUAUGUCCCAAAAAAUUGGUAGAGGA